rnacentral:misc_RNA from 1 species
GUGAGUCAUCGAAUCUUUGAACGCACAUUGCGCCCGCCAGUAUUCUGGCGGGCAUGCCUGUUCGAGCGUCAUUUCAACCCUCAAGCCCCCGGGCUUGGCGUUGGGGAUCGGCCGCCCUCCCCCGGGCGUGCCGGCUCCGAAAUCUAGUGGCGGUCUCGCUGUAGCCUCCUCUGCGUAGUAGCACAUCUCGCACCGGAACGCGGCCUGGCCACGCCGUCUAAACCCCCCACUUCUGAAGGUUGACCUCGGAUCAGGUAGGAAUACCCGCUGAACUUAAGCAUAUCAAUAAGCGGAGGA